rnacentral:lncRNA from 1 species
AGGCCGCCGCCACACCACUCGCCGCCGCGGCGGACCUCAACCGUCAUCGUUGCCGUUCUCAACCCACCCGCCGCCGUGGCUGUACCUCUCCCCGCUCACUGCCCCCGUUGCGGCGCUCGAGCGCAUCGCGUCGACCCUGGUCCACCCUGGCCUGUGCCCAGGCCGCUGCCACACCACUCGCCGCCGCGACCGACCUCAACCACCACUGUUGUCGAUCUCAACCCACCCGUCUCCGCGGUCGUACCUCUGCCCGCUUGCUGCCCCCGUUUCGGCGCUCGAGCACAGCUUCUGGAUCAAAUCAACGCGACAGCUACAACGACUUGGGAUGAUGCGUCUGCUCGAUGCAGAACGGCGGCGGCACGCGGAUAAGGCGCGGCGGAGCGAAGUACUUGCAGGUGGAGGCGGGCCUCCAUGGUUCACACGGGGAACUCCGAGGUUAUGACGCGGCAACGGCGACUCCUUAUGGCCAGAUAGAGGCGCCUAACCCUUGCUCCCCUCAUCGUAUCCCCUCCUCCACCAGGAACUCAUCAUCUGGUGAGAUCCCCUCCCCAUGCCUCCAACCGUGUGCCAAGCACCGGCAAGAAAUUUUGUUUUAUGGGAAUUUGUUUGCUGAUGAAUGAAUGUAUUGAAUGUAAGAUUGCAUUGUUGUAGAGAGAAAGAAUGGAACACCACAUUCAGUUUGUCAUCUAAUCUCAUAUUCUCUACCCCAUGAGUGAAAUAAAUAAACAGUCCAUUAAUCAAUUCACGUAGCCUCUUUGUUUUGCUUUGCUUGUCCCGCUCAAUUUCUCAUCAUGGUGAAAUUAACAAUGGACGGGUUGAUUUCUCAACAAAAUAGGAUAGGACUGACUACAAUAGUUA